CUUGGAGACGGCGACUCUCUGCGUACUGAUUGGAACAUCCGCGAAAUGAUACGCCUCUCUGCAAUGCUAUUGGUCGAAAUGCAUGUCAAUCUCCCAGCGUCUUUAUCCGUGUUCCUUGACUCUGGGCAACUUAAAAGCCCUAAUACUUUUACUUUCGCCACACAAAGAGGUUCUUCUUAGUGGAGGGAGAGCAGAUGUAGGGCAUCCUACCGAGAAUUUCCGGAACCACGUGCGAGAUGAUGCCAGUCAUGAACGUCUCCGCGCUUCCUUUCGCUUUGGAAAUAUCCUUAAGUAGAAAUUUUCUGAGCUUUGCCUAAAACUAGAAUCUGUGUUGAGGUUUUUCAAAAUUAAGUAACGCCAGAGACAUACUGUGACGUGAGGAAACGCUCUUAAAUGAAAUUUUAAGAUCUAUUUGAGAAACAUGUACUAAAAAUGUACUGACCUCCUAUUAAUGCCAGGCGCUAUGCUGAAUUCUGGGCCUUCACAUUGUCCUUCCAUUAUUAGAACUGAAGCCCAGAUUAUUUGAAACAAAAAAUAAACUUCAAUAAUUUAUUAAAAUUUGCAAAGGAACAAAAUUUUACUUCACAAUUGUACAUUUCGUUUUCGUAAUUUUUAGGACAAAAUAGCUUAAUUGACUCUUCUGUCAUACAAAUAAUCAGCUGAAGGAAAUGGCAUUUAAGAGCAUCGAACAAUAAUAAAUGUUUGAUUAAAUAAAAACCGUGACAAGAGAGUAGGGAGGAGAAGGUCCUAUGUCGCUCACUGAUGCACUUAACAAACAUUUGUCAACUCCUAGGAGUUGCAUUCUGUACAAAAUGCACAACAAUUCUUACUUAAGUUCAUAAUAUAGUAAUUCAUUUGAGCUGAAUUUCCUUCCAGUCCUAAAGACACAGCCAAAACUAUUCGAAAAGUGGGGGAAGGUGUUUUGUUUUGUACUUUAACAAAAAGGGGAAGAGAAACAAAUUUAAAAGAGGGGAAGAGUCAUUUUUCAUUUAUUAAAAUAAGCAUUCCUACACCUUUUAGAAAGUAAAGCAGUGAUGUGCAUGCUGUUAAUUCAGAUUUAUGCAUUUAUUUAUUUAUUUUGAAACGGAGUCUCAUUCUGUCGCCCAGGCGCGGCCAAUUUUUGUAUUUUUAGUAGAGAUGGGAUUUCACCUUAUUGGUCAGGCUGGUCUCGAACUUCUGACCUCAAGUGAUCCUCCCGCCUCGGCCUCCCAAAGUGCUGGGAUUAGAGGCGUGUGCCACCGCGCCCGGCUAUUAUUUGAUUUUUAUUAGUUAUCUCAAACUCUUACUUGGUCCUGAAAUCGUUAUUUUAUUUUAUCCUAAGGAUACUAUGAAUCUUAAAAUUCUUUUUCUUGGCUACUACAAACUUAGAACCAAGUGUGCAGCCUGCCUUUAGCAAAUGUACAGGCAUCACUAAUUCAUUUAUUUAUUCUUAUAUUUAACACCUAUUAUGAUACAUAGUAUGAGGUGCUACAGAUUUAGUAGUAAAAUAAAUGCAGUCCUAGCAUGAGUGGAGAAGUUCAUCUUGUACCAUUUAAGAGAGACAUUAAAUGAAUAACCUCAAAUGUGAUAGUAGGAUGAAAUUGAGUGGGGUCACCAAGUCUUAGGGGAUAGGAAGGUCUCUUUAAUUACUGACUUUUCAGGCCGGAGGCAGUGGCUUAUGCCUGUAAUCCCAGCACUUUGUGGGGCUGAGGCCAGGCGGGUGGAUUACCUGGGGUCAGGAGUUCCAGACCAGCCUGGCCAAUAUGGCAAAACUCUGUCUCUACUAAACAAACAAACAAAAAAAUUAGCUGGGCAUGGCGGUGCACACCUGUGAUCCUAGCUAAUCGGGAGGUUAAGGCAGGAGAAUAGCUUGAACCCGGGAGGUGAAGGUUACAGUGAGCUGAGAUCGGGCCACUGCACUCCUGCCUGGGUGACACAGCAAGACUCCAUCUCAAAAAAAAAAAAAAAGGAAAAUGGAAAAAAAAAGGAAAAGAAACCAACUUUUCAGUUGAAAGUUCAAAGCUGAGUGUUCAGAGGAGCCUUCAAGGCUACAGGAAUCCUUAAUUUUUUUUGCAGGUAUCUGAGUUGAAAGAACCAGGCCUAUUUAAGGAGGUGGAAAAAAUCCAAAAAAGCUUUGAUUCAGAAUGGGGAUGACAGUGUAUGGCAAGAAUUAUGCAGAUUAACUUUAGCUUCAUACCUUUCUACUUAUCUGUUUAAAUCUUGAUUUUAAAUUCUUCCUUGAGCAUAGUAACGUAUAAACUCCUACAUAUUUCAGAUUAGUCUAUUUUCAUUAAAUAAAAUGUCUAUGAAGUUUCCCCCUCUAAAGAAAGAAAAGCCUAGCAUUUCAACCUAUAUUCUUGAGGCAGGGUGGGGAGGGAUACAAAAACUUAAUUAUAAUGCAAAGCAGAUUUUAUAUAUUUUGAAAAUUUUAAGAAUUUUGCUAUGAGAGACUAGAUAGAAACUGACAGGAGAGUUCUGGGAAGACUACAGAGGACUGAUACUUGAUUUAGGCCUCAAAGUGUUUGAACAAUCAUGGGACAGAAGAAAAUCCAAGUGAGAGAAAUAAUAUAAGGUAAAAUAUAUGAGAACACAAAUGUGUGUACUGUGUGCCAUGAAUACCAGGAACAAUCUCCCUCCUCUUGGUUUUGAUCCCCAAAUUCCUGGGAUACAGUAAAUUGGGAAAGAAAAAGGCCAAAUUUCAGCAGAUUUUAUUUUUAUUUAUUUAUUUUGAUUUUUUUCUGUUCUUUGGUGAAGUUUUCAAAUAUUGUAGCUCAUAAAACUUUCUU
rnacentral:lncRNA from 1 species